AUUGCCCCCCUCUCAAGAGUCAGUCCCCAAGGGUAAUGGAUGAAGCAAUGGGGAAGUGCUGCCACAGAGAAGGUGGACCAGCUGCCUAGAGCCAGGACCUGACCACAGGAGGAGCUUUCUAGAGAGACGGGGAGGAGGAAGGGUCAGCAGAUGAGGGUAGAGCCAGCAGACAGCACAGAGAGAACAUGUAACGGAUGGAAGGGUGGACAUACAGGUGGACAGGAGGACGGAUGGAGGGACAAACGGACCAACAGGUGGGAGGGUGAGUGAUGGUCAGACAGACAGAUGGGCGAGCAGAUGGACAAACGGACAGACAGACAGCUGGGUGUGUGGAGGCUGGAUGGGUAGAUGGAUGGAUGGACAGGUGGGAGGGUGAGUGAAUGGUCAGACAGACAGAUGGGCGAGCAGAUGGACGAACGGACAGACAGACAGCUGGGUGUGUGGAGGCUGGAUGGGUAGAUGGAUGGAUGGACAGGUGGGAGGGUGAGUGAGUCGACGGGUGAAUGGGUGGGCAUAGUGGACGGAUGCAGAGGUGGAUGGAUGAAUGGAUGGAUGACUGGAUGGUCAGCUAUGACACGCAGGUCCAGAUCCCACCUGACAGGCAAGGCCUGGGCCUGGGACCUGAGCUGGGGCUUCACCUGGGCCUUCCUUGUGUCCCGGGAGAGCAACAGAGCCCCUUGGUCUUGUCCACCCAGCCCUCGGCACACUGAGCGACAGACCGAGACCCAUGUCCCCAGCUGGAGCACCUGCAGGCGGGCGUGGCUGGUCUUCUCUGGCCCCCCAGGGCCCAGGCCAAGAAGGCCCAAGAACAAGGGCUUGCUGAGGAAGCAGGCAGGGCUGGGAGUCGGGAGACCGUGGUCUUUAACUCUCCUUGGGGCAGCAGAGCUGUGCCCACCCUCCUGCCCUACCACGUCUCUUCCUAAGGUGUCCUGAGACCCCAGAGGCGGGAGUUCUGCGGGUGUCUUCAGGGCUGCAGGGUCCUGGCCCCUCCCCUGGGCAUCUGCAGCCUCAGUCCUGAGACCGGGCACUGGCUGCUAGUGCACCCUCCUGAGACUCAGGGCAGGGAGGGCGCUGGCCUGGCAAAGCCUCUGUGUCUUACAGAACAUCAGCCCUGGCUGGUGCUGGACCUGAUGCAGAGCAGCCCCGAGGAGGACAGCCCAGAGGCCAGCCUGUGGCCCACGACCGUCACCCUGCUCACCCUCUUCCUGCUGAGCCUCUUCUACAGCACAGCACUGACUGUGACGAGCAUCCGGACCACGCCGGACAGCCGGGAGGUCCCCCAGUACUGAGCAGGAGCCAGCCGGGCAGGAAGAAACUUGAGGAGCCUCCAGAGAGCCCAGCUGGAUAACAGACAUCAGUUCCGGUCAGAAGUCACAGGCCCACCCACAAAGGCCUUCCUUUCUGGUGCAAUAAAUUAUCCCAAAGGCAGAAGUUUUCAGACUCUGAAUGAGGGGAAGGGAAGAAGAGGGGCAGAGGCUCUGGAGACACAAAUGCCUGCCUCAUGGAUGAAGGAGGGUCUCAGAUGCAUGGAUGGAUCAUGAGCUGAUUCUGCCCUCCAAAUAUUAGGCAAAGACUAGAGCUAUGCUUCAUCAAACACAGUAUAAAGUAAAAGCUCUACAAUAACUGAAUUCAAGUUCCUGGCCCUGAACACUGAGUCGUGGUCCUGAUUACUGGGCCCUGGUCCUGAUCACUGGGCCCUGGUCCUGAUCACUGAGCCCUGG
ensembl:lncRNA